UACGGAGGGUGCAAGCGUUAAUCGGAAUUACUGGGCGUAAAGCGCACGCAGGCGGUCUGUCAAGUCGGAUGUGAAAUCCCCGGGCUCAACCUGGGAACUGCAUUCGAAACUGGCAGGCUAGAGUCUUGUAGAGGGGGGUAGAAUUCCAGGUGUAGCGGUGAAAUGCGUCGAGAUCUGGAGGAAUACCGGUGGCGAAGGCGGCCCCCUGGACAAAGACUGACGCUGAGGUGCGAAAGCGGGGGGAGCAAACAGGAUUAGAUACCCGGGUAGUCCACGCCGUAAACGAUGUCGAUUUGGAGGUUGUGCCCUUGAGGCGUGGCUUCCGGAGCUAACGCGUUAAAUCGACCGCCUGGGGAGUACGGCCGCAAGGUUAAA
rnacentral:rRNA from 1 species